UUGUUUUAAAAGCGGGUGUGAGGGAAGGCUGGAGGGGAAGCAGCAGGGGAUGGGGAUGUAUUUAAUUUGUGCCUCGGAUCCUGCCACCUAGGAGAGGCUGGGUGACAGGACUGAGCUGUCCUGGUCUGUGGGCUUCUUGAAGAGUGAACUGGGAUCUUCUGUGUGCUUGGGGCUUUGCAAUGCACCCCUAAAUCACCAAAGUUUGGUGAACCAAACCCAAGGUCCUGCUCCUGAAGGUUUUGUUGGCUGCACACUUAACUCUGCAAUGACAGCACAAAACACGGGAUCUUGAAAAGAAAUGACACUUCUGAAGGCAAACAAGAAGGAGAUGUUCUGUUCUGAGUGUGCUGAGAAGCUUCUCCCCCUCCAAAUGUAAUGAACUUUUAUUGCUGUUGAGAAGUUCCUAUAAAAAGACAUUUUCCAAUGCAAAAAAAAACCUGCAUCAGGGACCUGUUUGGCUGGGUUUACAGGUGAUGGAGCUGGAAUUACUCAGCGGUGCCUGUUCUGCCUCCAGAACCUGCCUGCAGCAUCACCUCCCAUCUCCUGACAAGCCCCACCGUUACCUGGGGAUGCCUGGGGGUCCCCCGUAGCCUCAGAAAAGCUCUCUGUUGGCUUCACAUUUUUUUUUUUAAAGCUUUUGUUUUGAUAAAAACGGUGAGUUUUCUAUCAAAGCCACUGCUGCCUUUCAUGCCUGGGGAAAACUAACCAUGAGAAUGGCUGCCUUUUAGCCGCAGCUGAUUUAGGGGAUUGGGAGCCUUUCAUGGUCCUACUUUUAUCUUGGGAAUAGGCAGACCUCCUUGUAGGAUGUGAGUGUUGGGGAGGGAGAGGUCAAUGUGCUGGGAGAGGUUUGGGCUUUGUCCUGCCCACGGGAGGCUCCAACCCGUUGGUACCACGAAGAUGAGCACAGCACCUUGAUGCUUUUCCCUUUGGAGCCAAGCCUGCGUGCGAAGAGGGAGCUGGAGAUGCUGCUCUACGUUCACUGAAGAGCAAGAAGCCCAGAUAUUAAAUUUAGCAUUUAGGGGGAAAGCGGAGGGAGGAAGGGCGCUGCUUCCUUCUUAAGCACCUCUGUUGGAUGGCAGGGUUGGGCUGGGGGUGUUGUGGGCUAAAUCCCACCCUGAUGAACUUUGCUGCCCUCAGCCUUCCGAAAGCGGUCGCUUGCCAAGGAUCUGCUGGGUCUGGGUACCUGGAGGUGAUGGCUGUGAGGAUGCAACCUGGCUGCUCCCCAGCUCCUGCAGAAGAGGGGGACGCUGAGAUGCUGCUGUGGUGCUGCUGCUGCUCCUUUUUGUGAAGGAUUGGAGAGCUGCAAAGAGGAGAACAAGAAGUCGGUGGUACCUGGUGCAGUUCGUGCCAACAGAGAUGUUCUGCAGACGUGCAUUGAUUUCAGCCUGGCAGCGUUGCUGGGAGGUGUCUGCGGUACAGGACGAGGAGCAGGUGGGGAAACUGAGGCAAGGAACCCCGCUCAUGCCUGCUUGGUGACUCAGCCUCCAGCAGAGGAACCCAGGCUCCCCAUCCAGCAAACCAGGGCAGGAGGUGGAGGAAACCUGCUGAGAGCAACCACUUCUGAGCCCCAGUGCGGAUAUCCCUUGCAGGCAGAGAUUUCCAUGUGAGCAAGCCGCAGGUUCUGAAGCACGCAUGAAGCCUCUGGGAAACGCACCACGUGUGCAAGUGAAGUCCCCACGGCUCCUUCCCCGGGCUGCUGCAGCGCAUCGGGGCGCUUGUGCCAAACCGCAGCUGCGUGACAAGGACGCCCGGCUCAUCUCUGCGGGGCAUAAGGUGGACGUGGCAGGCGACAGGCCUGUCAAAGCACUUGGGAUUAGAGCCUGUCACAGUCGGCACAGACAGGUUUUUAUUUCAGGCAGCCGCCCGCCGCUCCCGCUCGCAGCACCGGGGAGCCGGUGAUGGCACACAGCGGGGCUGUCCCUGCUCACAGCCUGGCUCCCCACGGGAGGGCACGGCCCUUCCUUGAUCUCAGCCCCCUCAUCCAUCAGGAACCAAGCUUUAUCAGCUCACGUCUCACUGGGUGACUUUUUUCCUUUUCCUCUUGCCACCAGCAAAUCUUAGAAUCCCCCAGCAUCUGAAGCACGGUGUGAUUUCCCAGGCAGUGUUUGGUCUGGUUCGUGAGGUCCUGAUGGAGCCUGGAGGAACGGGUUGGUCUGAGACCCACCAAGAGCUCCGAAAGUCCAGAGACCAUCCUCAGCCACUUGCAGGAGAGCGUAGAAGGUGAUUCACCUCCAGCUGCUCCACAGAAGAAAAGUCUCUUGUUUAAAAGCAAUCUAACUUUGCCCAUCCCAGCCUUUCGAAGCUAUUGUGGCACCUCAGUCAGAUUUCUGCAGAUUUGUCAUCCAGGAGCUGGGUUCUCUUGGCUGGAUUCUUCUCGCAAUUCGUCAUCACGAGUAUCAUUUACCCUCUGAAGUUACGUUUUGCUUUUAAUCAGUCUUUACCAUUCAGGCAUGCUGCAAACGGCUCCCUCGACGGCCAAGCAUUAUCCUUCUUAAUGAGCAGGACUUGGGGGACACGGGGGAGCAGAGCAGCCCAUUUCUCUUCAUCACCACCAAUAGAUCAGAGCAAAUCAGUUUUGCAACAAUUUUAAUAAAUCGAUUCAAUUUGGCAAACCAAAAAAAAAAAAAAAAGAGAGAGGGAGAUUAAAAAGUAAAGAAGGAAAUAAUGUGAGAUGCUUCCAGCAAUUGUGGUGGAUGGUAAAUCUCUUCUUUAUUACUGCUUUAUUAUUUCCAGAAUCUGAAGUUUAAAUAAUUAAGCAGAAUAAAUGGUGGAUGAAUAUUAUUUUCAAGUUUUAUUUAUUGAUUCUCAAAGGACAGAUGUGCACAGAGACCCAGGCAUAGAGGAAGCUAAUUUCUCCAGUGGUGUAAAUCAGCACAGCAUCAUUAACAUGAAUGUCAUUUAAAGGAGAUUUACACAAGCUGAGAAUCCAGCCUCCUCAUUUUGGGAGGUAAAUAUGGAAAACUACAUAGGCUUUAAUAUUUUUUGUUCUGUCUUCUGUGCAAUUCAUUUAUUUUCCAGUUUAAAAGCAGAUCAGGUAUAUUUUUUGUGUAAUUUAAAUACAUUUCUUGACAGAGCUGCUCACUCUGAAAGUCUUUUUGGGAGCUUGAAAUUGGCCAACUCUGUGUGCCUGCAGGUUUGCACUCGGAGGCCAGGUUGGUACCUGGAAGGUGACAAGAUGCUGGGCUGCCCCUAGCUGUGUGAGUGACGAAAUAUUUGGGAGAUGCUGGAAGUGGGGCUGGGCUGGGCGCAUCUGUAGUGCCUGGGAAAAGAUUUCCCAGAGCCAAAGGCUGAAUUCCUUCUGCAGUCUGCUGUGCACCUUGCUGUUGAUAAUAUCCAUGUUAGCACCGUAGUUAUCCAUUUAAAACACGUGUGAGACCCCAGCUGGUGGGAGCGCACCCCUCUGAGCUCCCCGGGGUGCCCAGCUGUCUCUGCACCGUCUCGUGGUUGGGGAUGAACACCUGGUGCCUUUGCUGUUCUUAAUCACUGCUUUAAUCUCAGGUCACCGCUGCUCCCGUGGGCACCCUGGGGGCUCCUGUCUUCCACAGGAAAGCUCCAGCACUGGGAUGAUUUUUGGCACGCAGAGGAGAACAAGGUGGCGGCGGCUGCAGCAAAAGCAACAGAGGCCUCAGAGAAGCAGAGGAAUGCCACCUGGUGUUAACAGCGGGGCCAAUUAAGGAGACCAGGAAUUAAGGAAAUCUGACACCUGUAAGGAGAUUAACCCAAAGGAGAUGCAAUGUUAUCCGAAAUUUCAGCUACAUGGGGAGUGACAUGUGGAUGAAACAGGCCAGUGAGCAGGUUUGGGCUCCUCCGGUUUCUGUCCUGAGAUGUGUGGCGGCUGCUCCGUGCACGGCUGGAGCUCUCUCCAGGAACAGCCGUCAGGGCCUCGCUGCAGCAGUAAUGGGCUUGGGCACUGUGUCAGCUCCCUUCAUACUGAUGAGAGCUUAUAAAUAUAUAAAUAUAUAAAUAUAUACGUAUACAUAUGGGAAGUUUUGCAGUCAAACCACAUGGAUGUUUUCGGUGGAGCAGCCACAGCUCGCUGCCCACCUGCCUGCCAUCAAAUCAAGAGUUUUCCAGCAGUAUCAGCAUCAAGCAAAUCCCUGCAAGACAGCAGCCUGGCAGGAUGGGGAGGGAGAGGGACACAUCUCCAUGUCCCCAGCCCCACGGAGCCCCCUGAGCCUGAAGGCUGGAGCAGACAGGGCUGGGAAAAAGCUUGGCCCCCGUGACCACUGUCCAGCAAAGCCAGGCAAGGAGCUGAGCACAACGCAGAGAUGCGUGCAGCCGGGAGGCCAGGAGUCAGAUUAACAAGGACGUGAUCUAUCAGCCACGAGUUGAGGACAAAAAUGGCUGAGUAGUGCUGGGUAGAAAGCGCACAGGCAGAGCUGGCUCUGGAGUGCCUCUGGGAUGAAUGCUUGGUAGGAGGCAAAUGCAGUCCUGGGUUGUGCGACCCAGGGCACCCGAGCAGAGGGGCAGGGAUUUAAUCCGUUCUCCCAGCACGGAGAUGGUUAAACCACUGGUACUGCAGACAGCUUUGGGCAAAACAUCACAGAAAGGAAAUGGAGAAGCAGCAAAGGGAGGGAAUUGCAGCCUGGAGGAAGAUAAAGGGUUUAGAGAGGAUGGCUGUGAAGAAAGCGAUUAGAGGAAAUUAAACAUGGACAGGCUGGAGACAGAGGCUGGGGAGGGGAAGAGGCAUCUGGCUGUGCUGGUGCAAGGGCACGUUGCAGGGCAGAGGAAUUGUGCUCAUCGCUGAGCAGUGCCGGCUCAGGGAGGAAAGAAUGGCACCAGACAGAGCGGGAGGCUUACGUGCAUCAAUAACCAGCCAGGCAAUAUUGGCACCAGGACCAAUUCCGGACUGAAACCAAGCAGCACAAAUCCGAGGGGUUUGGAGGAGGCAGGAAUGUGUCAGCUCCUGCCUAGUGAAGCCCUAACGCAUGUGGUUUGUGAACCCGAAGGAGCUUUUAGUAGAGCUCUUCUGUCUCUUCUGUCUCUGUUUUUUCAACCUAGUGAUUAAAAGUCCAGCAUGGAGAUGCCUCUUCUCUUGGCCAAACCUCUUGCAAGGGGCAGACAACCGUGCCUUGAACUUGGCAGCUUCUUCAUCUGGGAAGUGCUGUGGCUGGUGGAUGCAUCGUCCCCAGGAUUUUGGUGCACUGGCUUCUGAAGAGGCUGGAGGAGCAGUCCUUGUAGUGGGAAGGUUGAGGACAAGACUUGGACUCUCAGGACAGAUGAGGGUGCUCUCGCUUGUCCUAGUGAUGCUGUCAGAUGCUCUGGUGUUGCCUUGGUAAGGGGGAGGACAAGAGGAGCUCCUGUCUGUCUGCAGCACGUGGCUCCUUGGAGCUGUGUGAGGGCACCAACCUGAAGCUGCAUAGAAAUUGCUGCCAAGCUUUGGGAACACCAACACAGGCAGUGUCACACAGGUGCUGACCACAGGUGGCCGUGCCACAUCUUGGGAAGGAUAAAGAACGAUUAGGAAAGUCGAGAAGCUCUCUGCAAGCCUCAUCCAAAAAGGAUGCUGCUGGGAGGGAAAUGCUCUGGGUCAUGGUUUGAACCCUGGCUCUCCUCUCCCACUGCCCCUUUUCUUCUUAAAAAAUAGGAUGGGAUUAAAUCCCAUCAGUAGCUUUUAAAAGGCAACUGAAAAUGUCCUUUAUUAAAUUACUACCCUAUUGAUCUUGCAGUCAUCCGAAAGGGGAUUGAUUGAGGGCUUAAACAGACACGCAGCCGGGCCAGACGCUCAAUUAAUGUGCAUAAACGGGCAGUGAAGAAGCAAUUUUCGGAGUAAGUCAAGCAAAAGAUCAAUCCUGUUUUGCCUUCCAUGCCAAAGUUGCUUGUGUAUUUAUUUUUACGUUAGUUCAUCUUCAUUUGUUUGUCCCUCUUAUGAUAAGCACCGCGUUGAGAGGUGGCACUCAAAGCACGGCUCGCUCCACUCCCAGAGCCAUCGCUCCUUUCCUUCGGGCCUUGGAGAAGGACACAGUGGCAGCAGGGUCAGGGAAAGCCAUGUCAUCUCAGAGAACCCACACCUGAAGGUGUUUUUAGCGAUGUACACCCCAGGUUCUCCAUGAAAGUCUUACCGAGAGGGCAGCGUGAAGCAGCAGCAGACCUGUCACCUUUUUUGAGUACUCACGUGUCUGAUGGACCUUGAGUUGCUCUCCCAAGUCUGGGGAAUAUCUGGGGGGGAAAAAAAAACAUCCUCUUUAUUGACUGUUCCCUGCCUCUUCACCAUAUGACAGUUCCAGGUGGCUGCUGGUGCAAAGCAACCACGAUAGAUCUACAAAUGCUUAGCUUUUCUCUGGAUUUUCCUGCAGGGAGAGCCCAUAAACAUUGCUGAAGAAUGGGCCAGAGCAAAGCAUCUGAAGGCAAAUCUUUACACUGUGUUUGGUUGCGCUGUGUUUGUGAGCAAGCUGCAAGGAAGGCUCUGUUUUGCUUGUUUUUCUUUCCUUUUUUUUUUCUUUUUUUUUUUUUUUUUUUCUUUUCUUUUUUUUCUUUCCCCUUUAGACUUAACAAGAAUCUCGAUAAGAAAUUCUGGUCUCUGAAGGCCACCAGCCCAGACCCGCUGGCUCAAGCUCCUUGUUCCCAACCUGCCUUUUAGCCAGAUGUAGGUUGCAUCACCCCAUGCAUACGAAGGGGAUCACUUAUGGCUUGCAGCACUCUGAGGAGAGCACAGAGGCAGGCUGCCGAGCCCUGGCUGUGGGGAAGGCUGAGCCAGGUCUUCUCAUGGCUCCACACAGCUCAGCCACAGACCUGGUGACCUGGAGAUGCCAAAUGUCCCUGUGGUACAGGGCCAUCAGGUCUUUCCAUGGGGAACCAGCGUGGCUUCACAGCAGUGACACUGGGGACCUUAACUGCGCUCCUGAGUGUGCAGUGCCAGAACUGGAACCCGGUCCCCUGUUCUGGUUCCUGCUCACCCAGCUUCUCCUAAGCAGCGGUAGAAACGCCUGCAUCUCCUCCAAGGAGUAGGAUGGGAAUUUGCUAGGGUGAAGGACACCUGAUCUGCUGCACUGGGGGAGUACGGGCUCAAAAACAUCCAGGUGAGCUCUUCCACCUUCCCUUCUCUCAUGUUUUUGUCCUUUGCUCCUCAUGGUUGGGUGGAUGUGGAGUCCCCAAGAUCUCUGCGGUUGGGGCACACGGAGAAGAAAGCUUCUUCCCCCAGUGCUGAGCCCUCUCCUCCCGUCCCACCAGACUCAGACAUCCCUCUCACUGCUGCUCCGUGCAACAUCGUGGCUUUGUGAAUCCCCUUCCAGGACGGGGGGGCUGUGUCCUGACCUGGCAUCGCCGGUGAGUCACCGCAGCCGGCAGCUUCCCCGUGCCGCAGCAGCUUGGCCCUGGCGCAGGCAGGAGGCAACGUGCUCGGAGCUAAAGCCAUAAUUAGCAGGAGCUCGUUGCAAAGGCUGGGACUGAGGGCUUUUCCUGUCUGUUCUGUCUCGAGAAACCUUUCAUUAUGUGGAUGGAAAAAGCUUUCUUCUCUUCCCCUUUGCACAGAGAGGGAUUUCCUCUCGCAGACAGGCUGUGCUGGUCAGGCAGCCGGGAUGGGCUGGGGGCUAAGGGUGCCCUGGGGUUUGCUCUUCCCCUUGGGUUGGAGCUGCUCGAGGUCCGGGAGAGAGGGGCAAGAGGAAGGGAUGAGAAGAGCCUUUGGGGUGGGGGAGUUUGGGAGAUUUGCUCAGUUCUGCCCCUGAUUUAGGAGCAAAACAAAGAGCCCCUGGAGGAGGGCAGGAGCGCAGCCCCUCUCCCUGAUUUUGGGAGCGGAGGCUUGGGGGUCCCAGCCCAUCUCCUCCCUCAGCCCACGGGGAGCAGUGGAGAGGAAUUGGAGCUGGCGGCUCCUUUCUGCUCUCUCAUCUUUGCGAUACAAUCACUUUUAAGGAGGAUAAAUUAUUGAAUGAGUGAAAUCUUCUGUGAAGAGUAAUAAAAAUGUAUCUUCAAUUAGAAUGUGCUGAGGCUUUUUACAGCACCUGAAUGGGAGCUGCUCCUGCGGCAGCGAGAGACCUCUCAUCUCUUCUCUUUCUUUCCUCGUCUUUUUUAGCCCAAGAUUGUUGUUCCUUCCCUGCUCAAGAUUGGCUGUGCAGGAAUAGACGUGCACCUCAGCAGCAGGGUUAUGUCAACAUGGGGGAGUGGAUGAUCUCUUUUAAACCAAGACCUGGUAUCCUCUGCAGCAGUGCCAUUGUGCCUGAAGCAGGACCAAGCUGCUGACUACUUGACUUUGUGGUCUGCUCCUCCACCAUGUGGCUCUUAGGAUUUAUCCAGCGCCCUUCCAACCACUGCGACUGCAUCGCUGACCAGGACAUCAGGCAGUGAGUGUUGGGGUGCUGGGUUAGACACCCAACAGCCAGAAAAGCUGUGGGAGCACCAAGCAAAGCUGCUGCUGUGGGCAAACCCCUCUAGCCAGGGAGUGCUUGGGGUGCUGAGAUCCCCCCAGCUGCUCCCGUGAUGGCAAACAACCAAAGUUGUCUCUUCCUGAGGGCAAGCUCAUCCAGAGCAUCACCACCCUUAUAUGACUGUAAAUUUGGGGGACAGAGGGAAGGAAUGAUUUAUACGUAUAGCUGAGAUUUUAUUUGCAUUUUAAAUCACACUCCGGCUAAACUAAUGGACCCCCUAUUUAUAGAUGACUCCAACAUAAAGUGACUGCUAAUUACUACAAUUAAUAUAGCGUUAAAGGCUUGCCAGCCAACUCCACUGCAACUUGUAUCGCCUACUCAUUUUCAAUUAAGGCACAUUGACAAGUAAAAUACGCAGUUAUUAAGAGCAGAGCCCUGUUGCAUAAUUACAUUUUUCUAAGGUCAUUAAUCUCCCACAAUAUCCAGUUUUACACCCAGUGGCUGGAGAGGGGGCAGUUCGAGGGACAGCCCGUUGGAGGGACAGUGGUAGCACUUAGGGAAUGCAAACGAGGUGAGAUUUUUUUCUUUUCAUCCUGCCCUCAGACGGUGUGUGCAUGUCCUUGGCUGGGCAUUCGUUGUGUCUGUAGCCAACGGGUGCCCUGCUGAGCAGACUGGCCGUGCCAUGCAGCACCCUGGGGUGUGCCAGACGCCUGUGAGAGCCCAGAUUUUUUCUUCGUUUGGGUCAAGCAGCAAAGCCUUGUGUUUGUGGAGCUCUCGGAUAGGAGCUUUCAUUCUGCUUUUGUACGUGUGGUUAUCUCUGCUGUCAACAACGCUGCUAAUCCCACGGCUGGGGAUCCAGGCAGCUGUGCUGCUUCUUGUUGGCACAAUUUAAGAAGCCUUCUAGCACCACCAGGAUGGCUUUGCCUCUGCAGGGAGGGAUCAGCUUUGGAG